CUACGGGUCGCUCCAGUGGGGAAUAUUGGACAAUGGGCGCAAGCCUGAUCCAGCGACGCCGCGUGAGUGAUGAAGGCCUUCGGGUUGUAAAGCUCUUUCGUCGGGGAAGAUAAUGACGGUACCCGAAUAAGAAGCUCCGGCUAACUUCGUGCCAGCAGCCGCGGUAAUACGAAGGGAGCUAGUGUUACUCGGAAUUACUGGGCGUAAAGCGUGCGUAGGCUGCAUUGUAAGUAAGAAGUGAAAGCCCAGGGCUUAACCCUGGAAUUGCUUUUUAAACUGCAUUGCUAGAGUGUCAGAGGGGAUAGUGGAAUUCCUAGUGUAGAGGUGAAAUUCGUAGAUAUUAGGAGGAACACCAGUGGCGAAGGCGACUAUCUGGCUGACAACUGACGCUGUUGCACGAAAGCGUGGGGAGCAAACAGGAUUAGAUACCCCCGUAGUC
rnacentral:rRNA from 1 species